rnacentral:lncRNA from 1 species
CCCUUUGCUCCUCUCCCUCCCCUCUUCACAUCCAAGAGGUUGGGCGUCUAUCUGGUUCUUGUCCAAGGUGUGGUGGCUUCCUGAUUAGAAGGCUGCAGAGAUUUAUCGAGAAGCUACUGCUCCAGCUUCAGAAGAUCUUUUAAAGAUCUCUGAUCAGAUCUAGAUCUGAUUUUUGGAGCAAAGAUUCGGGAGGAGAAGAUGAUCCAG